rnacentral:rRNA from 1 species
UGCAGUCGAACGAUGAUCCGGUGCUUGCACCGGGGAUUAGUGGCGAACGGGUGAGUAACACGUGAGUAACCUGCCCUUGACUCUGGGAUAAGCCUGGGAAACUGGGUCUAAUACCGGAUAUGACUCCUCAUCGCAUGGUGGGGGGUGGAAAGCUUUUGUGGUUUUGGAUGGACUCGCGGCCUAUCAGCUUGUUGGUGAGGUAAUGGCUCACCAAGGCGACGACGGGUAGCCGGCCUGAGAGGGUGACCGGCCACACUGGGACUGAGACACGGCCCAGACUCCUACGGGAGGCAGCAGUGGGGAAUAUUGCACAAUGGGCGCAAGCCUGAUGCAGCGACGCCGCGUGAGGGAUGACGGCCUUCGGGUUGUAAACCUCUUUCAGUAGGGAAGAAGCGAAAGUGACGGUACCUGCAGAAGAAGCGCCGGCUAACUACGUGCCAGCAGCCGCGGUAAUACGUAGGGCGCAAGCGUUAUCCGGAAUUAUUGGGCGUAAAGAGCUCGUAGGCGGUUUGUCGCGUCUGCCGUGAAAGUCCGGGGCUCAACUCCGGAUCUGCGGUGGGUACGGGCAGGCUAGAGUGAUGUAGGGGAGACUGGAAUUCCUGGUGUAGCGGUGAAAUGCGCAGAUAUCAGGAGGAACACCGAUGGCGAAGGCAGGUCUCUGGGCAUUAACUGACGCUGAGGAGCGAAAGCAUGGGGAGCGAACAGGAUUAGAUACCCUGGUAGUCCAUGCCGUAAACGUUGGGCACUAGGUGUGGGGGACAUUCCACGUUUUCCGCGCCGUAGCUAACGCAUUAAGUGCCCCGCCUGGGGAGUACGGCCGCAAGGCUAAAACUCAAAGGAAUUGACGGGG